GUCAGUAACCCAGCCCUAAAGGGACUGGGCUUGCAAGAGUAAUCAAGCAAGCCGUACUGACCAGACCACCCUGAGCGAAGUCGAAGGGUAGCCGUUAUUUGAGUCACGACACCCACCGAAUGCGUUGCCCCUUCGGGGUUCAGCAGUCGCUCAUGGGGGAAACCCCCAAGACCGCGCUGCUUCACUAGUUCCCUGCUCUGUU
rnacentral:sRNA from 25 species